rnacentral:tRNA from 1 species
GCCCGUUUAGCUCAGUUGGCAGAGCGUCGUGAUAAUAACGCGAAUGUCGUGGGAUUGAUACCCCAAUGGCCA